GGGCCUGUGGGCUGGUGGGUUGGAUGCCUAGUUGGGCCAAACGGCGGAAGGGGAGGGGGGAAGGCCCGGGGUUUUCUUUCUUUCCUUCUUCUUUGUUUUCUUUUUAUUUCAACUUCUUUUUCUAUUUAGUUUCUAAGCCAUUUUAGUCUUAAUAAGUACAAAAGUUGCUCCACAAUUAGUAUAGUAAUAUAGGCUACUGUCACAAAAAGGUUCGGGGCAAAUAAAAUAGUUUGGAUAUUUCUACCAUUUUGAAAAUGCAUUUUAAUAAAUAAUUGACCCAUGUUUUAAUUAUUUUAGGCCACUUAAUUACUUUACAAAAAGUUGAUUUCACCACCAUAAUUGCCUACGGAUUAUUUACCACCUUUUGAACAUUUUAGUUUGACAUUUGAAAACUUUUUAUAGUUUGGCUUUAUUUUAAAUUUGAACCCAAGCAAUUUUGAAUCUAAGCGAGAUUAUCAACAGUAAUCGUGGUGACUUGGCAUCAUUAGUAGGGGGUUACUGUAGCUUGAUUAUCCGGGCGUCACAAUUCUCCUCCACUACAAGAAAUCUCGUCCCGAGAUUUAAGAGGUAGUGAAAGGGGGGAAGGUUUGGUUACGAAUCUAGCGGGUCUUCUCAUCCCGGCUUGCUCUUCUCGAAGAGGCCGGUCCAAUACAUUGAUGCCUUCAUUUCUCUGCUUCAGGUCAUCAUGAUGAAGUCGGCGUCCUUUCUUCAGAAACUCCAUCGUACUUACGAAAGAAUAAAGGGUGGGCAUUCCGGGAGAAUAGACCUCUGCAAGGUCGACUAUCUGGUCGAUAACAUCGAGGAAGGUGGCGGAAGUAACUCUCGAAUUGAAACUUACAAAAAUAUUGAGAGCAAGGUAAGGAGGUAUCAUGGGAAGUUUCGAGCGGGCAGGCAAUCGUUCGAUGCCUGAAACAGGGCGUGAAAAGGGGUUCAAAGCAAUGGGAAUAAGUAUUGUGUCUGAUACUAGAAUUAAUGAUCUCUCGGAAGGUGGCUCGUGAAUCACAUACGAGGCCAAGUGCGAGGAAUUAACUUUGGAAACCGGGGGUGUAUAGGAGAGUCAGGUUUCGAUCCUGUGGAACUGUGGGUUAUGGGCCCACCAUGUGGGUUAAAAAUAAGGAGGGUGUUGUCAUCUUGCAUGGUCAUGAUAGCAAGGCAUGUCAGAAAAUAGUCUGUCAGUUAUGUCGCCAACAACGUCGGUACCAAGGGCGAGGGACGAAGGGAACCAUAGUCCUGCUCGUUGAACGAGGCGGACCAAUAGGCAAAGUUCUCGUCCAUCGGUGGUCAUCGGAAUGUUAUCAACAUAGUAACAGGGUCUUGCUGACAAAAUUGUACACCGAGAUGUUUGUACAAGUAGGGGAUUAUUACUGCUUAUAUCAUAUAGAUCACAAGAAAGGUUAAACAAACCAAUGUAAAGGAAAUGUGAUCAUCAGAUUAAAUGGAACAAUGGAAAAGAAAAUGUGUUUAAACACAUAUUUCAGGGGUAUAUCCUUCCCAAGGACAAGCAGAGCAUGAUAUCCGUGACAGGAUAUAAUGUAGAAAACUAUUUAGGUAAGGGGAGAGAAAUUUCAUGACAUUACCCAUACAGCGGUGUUUGGAUAAUUGAGCAGGAAACAUUUAGCAUUGUGCUUCAAAUGUUCUUGUUGAAAAUCGGAGUACCACGGACAUGCUUAGAGAUAGCAUUGGCAUGGUUUUCAAGCAAAGAUCAGACUUUUGGAUACACAAAGGAUCCAUCAUGAACAACUUAUAGAAUAAGUCUUACAAUUUCCUCAUGGAAGUAUGAUUAAUCUUGCUAAAAAGGAAACUAUAACAAUAGUUCCUCCGGGCAGGUGUGCUAGGCAUGACAUCACCUUGUUAUAACUCUUGGGAAUAUGUUCCAACCAUCAUAUCUGACCGAGAUUUAGAUCUGAUUGGUGUUACAAUACCUCAGAGUCAGGAUGCCUGGGAAGAAAAGGUGCAACACAAAUUGACGAGAUGUCAUUGUAAGAUUCUCGAGAAAUGAACUAUGGAAGCGAGUUCCAAAACAAGAGUUCAUCAUUUAACCAAGGAGAGGACGAUGAGGCAGCUGAUGGACUCAGCGACAAUUCCUCAAGAUUUCCAAAAGGAUGGAUUUCCACAAUUAUGUGAACAAGGGGGUAACAUUUGUCAGAUCAAAUGAUAUAAUGAUGUAUGCACGAGGAAAACAUACACAAUUAAACAUUGGUUGAAAGGUGCACCCAAAAUAUGGGCUUAGGUAGCAUGAUCAAUGUUUAGAAUGGUGAUUCGAUAACCAAUGGUCUAAGAAUGAAAUGUCAACCAUUAACUUCAAAGCAAUAGGGUUGCUAGAAGUUUUAAAUUCGCACAUCAUAGUUCAAUUGUCAUUUUUUUUUUAUUGGCCAGAAACAACACGGGGACCAAGGAAUGAACGGAGAUGGCAAGAACUAUCACUUGUAUCAAGAAUUUAUAAGAGGUGGUGAAAUUCUCACGACAUCCUUGACAAAAGGCAGUAAUACUACAAGGUAGAUCAUAAUACAAGUUGGAUAGCAAGUUGCAUCCAUAAGAUGAACAAGUUUGUGAUGAAAGGCAGGUAAGGAUGUUGUUGAUGGUAACUCAAAUUACCAAGGAACGAGGAUGGCACUUAUCGUCUAGAAUUCCAUUGAUAUCCUGGAAGGAGUCAAAAUGUUGAUGAUGAUCACGACAAUUUGUUGUCGAGAGGAUCCACAAAGAAGCAAUUGAAUAGCGACUGCAUCACGCAAAAGGACUGAUGCAACAAAAGAUUAUUGGAGCCACAGAUACGACACAAACUCGAAAUCAAUUUUGCUGCUUUUUAAGGCGAAAUUAUAUGAGGAGGAAGAUCGACGUAAGGUUAGCUCAUCAUCGAAAAUUGUGCUCCGGAAAGAAGGACCAGGUAGCACAGUUAAAAUUUAGCACAAUAAUGAUAUAGCCGAUCAGGCUAGGAAUGACUUGAAGGAUUAUUAAAGUCAUAAGCAACGAAGAUUACUUAGAGUUAUCAAACCAGAGUGCGGAAUCGGUUCACUUACCGGUGUUCUGGAGCGACUAACAACUCAUGACCCAUGAAAAAUUGGAAUCAGUGAGAAAUAAUAGCUGGUGGAGACUCCUAAGAUGCAACACAGUUCUUAGAUAUUCUCGAGAUACCAGAGGGUAAUACUCGACGGUAGAUCAAGGUAGAGGUUAGACUGGUGUAUUGACUUGCAAAAGACAAGUGCUUUAACUUGUCCGAGAAAUGGGAUCAAAGAGAAAAUAUGGUCGGAACCACGGUUGCAUAGGAUCAGUUCACAGAUACCAGAUGAUAUUAUAUCAACGAAAUAGUUAUUAUUACAAGAAGCUUCUAUGGUAGGAUCUACAUCGUGUCCAUGGGCAUGAACACAAAGUUCAAGGUCGACUCCCACUUCUUCAAUGUAUAACCUUCCAUUCACCUCUCACUUUCAAAGAAGUUGUAGUGUUGAAAUUUUAUCUAGCAAAACACCAGAAGAGUAUGACUCAUGAAAACUUUCGAGUUCACACAUAUUAAGGAAGGCAUAGGUUCAACCCGUCAGGGUAUCGUGGAAACAUAUACCACAAGCUUCAAUAGUAAAUAACACAAGCUCGAUAGUAGAGCAUCGUCGAAAAAAAUAGAGGAUACAAUUUACCUAAGGCAUUAGGUAUCAGGGAAAGAACUUCUCGAGGUUUUUGUAUACGAAGGACGCUGUCGGAUGAUAUUUCAACAAAUGAUCCGACGGUCCAUAGUGGAGCUGAUGUGAGCAUCGGCUCACAACCAGAGGAAGAAACAAUGCGAAGGCAUUGGAUUAUAGAAGAAAAUGACUAAUUUAAAGUUUAAUUGCCAAGGAAGUAUGAUUUCCAAAUCAAGGGAUCAGAAGCAAACGCUUUGAUUUAGGAUGGAUAAGCUGAGCCGGCUUAGGGGUACAAUCGACGGCAAUUUGAUUGGUCGAGAACCAGCUCCAGUUAAAAAUGACGGCUGAGCCGGAAAGAUAAUUUGUAAGGAUCAACUCAUGAUUGCGGACAUUCGCAACAUAUAGAAUCAAGGAAUCUCGAAAUUAUAAUGACAAAGGAUGUCAAUUAGAUUACCAGACUUAUGGUAAAUCAUAUUGCAAGCAAGAAUUUGAAGAGCAAUAGGCUGUUGGGGAUUUUCGGAAAAUCGAAUGGUAUUUCGAAAACAUUUGUGAAAUACAGUAAUCAACUGUGGAUGAAUGGAUACUCGAUAAGUGUGAGGAAUUAUCCGUAGGGGUAUUCAUGUGGUAAAGAACUGCAGGGCAGUAAGCUCAGAGGAUUCUCGGGACAACAGAGAGUAUUUCGGGGCGUCUUGUAAUAACAAGAUCAACGGGGAAUGAUUGUAUGAAUGGCAAGUUUAUGCAGUUUUCAUAGGGGUUGACGGUGAAAAGAAAUCGCAAAUGCGAUGGCACAAAGACUCGAGAGCACAUCAUAGAGUAUCUUCGGAAUCUUCUGGUGCAGCAGGCGGUCAUCGCUAACAAGGGGCUCUCCGGGAGGAAGUAGUUAUGAGAACCUAGAGUUAGAGUUAGUAAAACCAUUUAAUCCGAGUAGAAGAGAGAUAAGAGUCCUAGAGUAUAGACGAGGAAUAAAAGAUCCUAAUACCACCCAAUGACGACGUGGGCCCAUGGGCCGCACAGCCAUGUUAGUAAAAGUUUUGCAAUGACUAGACUCAACUUCGGCCAAGGAAUUGGAAGGGGGAUUCCUACAGGCAGUCGGCUCUGAUACCAACUUGUGACUCCCCCGAUUCAAUCGUACACUAAUCCUACACACAAACGUGUACGAUCAAGAUCAGGGACUCACGAGAAGAUAUCACAACACAACUCUAAAAAUAAAACAAGUCAUACAAGCAUCAUAAUACAAGCCAGGGGCCUUGAGGGCUCGAAUACAAGUGCUCAAUCAUAGACGAGUCAGCGGAAGCAACAAUAUCUGAGUACAGACAUAAGUUAAACAAGAUGCCAUAAGAUGGCUAGCACAAACUGGGAUACAGAUCGAAAGAGGCGCAGGCCUCCUGCGUGGGAUCCUCCUAAACUACUCCAGGUCGUCGUCAGCGGCCUGCACGUAGUAGUAGGCACCUCCGGUGUAGUAGGAGUCGUCGUCGACGGUGGCGUCUGGCUCCUGGGCUCCGGCAUCUGGUUGCGACAACCAGGUAGAAGGGAAGGGGGAAAAGAGGGAGAAAAGCAACCGUGAGUACUCAUCCAAAGUACUCGCAAGCAAGGAGCUACACUACAUAUGCAUGGGUAUAUGUGUAAAGGGCCAUAUCGGUGGACUGAACUGCAGGAUGCGAGAAUAAGAGGGGGAUAGCUAAUCAUGUCGAAGACUACGCUUCAGGCCACCACCAUCUUGCAGCAUGUAGAAGAGAGUAGAUGGUAAGUUCACCAAGUAGCAUCGUGUAGCAUAAUCCUACCUGGCGAUCCCCUCCUCGUCGCCCUGUUAGAGAGCGAUCACCGGGUUAUAUCUGGCACUUGGAAGGGUGUGUUUUGUUAAGUAUCUGGUUCUAGUUGUCAUAAGGUCAAGGUACAACUCCGGGUCGUCCUUUUACCGAGGGACACGGCUAUUCGAAUAGAUAAACUUCCCUGCAGGGGUGCACCACAUAACCCAACACGCUCGAUCCCAUUUGGUCGGACACACUUUUUGUUGGGGAACGUAGUAAUUUCAAAAAAAAUCCUAUGCACACGCAAGAUCAUGGUGAUGCAUAGCAACGAGAGGGGAGAGUGUUGUCCACGUACCCUCGUAGACCGAAAGCGGAAGCGUUAACACAACGCGGUUGAUGUAGUCGUACGUCUUCACGAUUCGACCGAUUAAGUACCGAACGCACGGCACCUCCGAGUUCAGCACACGUUCAGCUCGAUGACGUCCCUCGAACUCUGAUCCAGCCGAGUGUUGAGGGAGAGUUUCGUCUGCACGACGGCGUGGUGACGAUGAUGAUGUUCUACCGACGCAGGGCUUCGCCUAAGCACCGCUAUGAUAUUAUCGAGGUGUAAUAUGGUGGAGGGGGCACCGCACACGGCUAAGAGAUCAAUGAUCAAUUGUUGUGUCUAUGGGGUACCCCCUGCCCCCGUAUAUAAAGGAGCAAGGGGGAGGCAGCCGGCCAAGGAGGAGGGCGCGCCAAGGGGGGAGUCCUACUCCCACCGGGAGUAGGACUCCUCCUUUCCUUCUUGGAGUAGGAGAGAAGGAAAGAGGGAGAGAGGGAGAAGGAAAAGGGGGCUGCACCCCUUGCCCAAUUCAGACCAGAGGGGGGGGUGCGCGCCUCCUUCCUUUUGGCCUUUCUCCUCUAUUCCUGUAUGGCCCAAUAAGGCCCAAUACUUCUCCCCGGCGAAUUCCCGUAACUCUCCGGUACUCCGAUAAAUACCCGAAUCACUCGGAACCUUUCCGAAGUCCGAAUACAGUCGUCCAAUAUAUCGAUCUUUACGUCUCGGCCAUUUCGAGACUCCCCGUCAUGUCCCUGAUCUCACCUGGGACUCCGAACUCCUUCGGUACAUCAAAACACAUAAACUCAUAAUAUAACCGUCAUCUAACUUUAAGCGUGCGGACCCUACGGGUUCGAGAACUAUGUAGACAUGACCGAGACACGUCUCCUGUCAAUAACCAAUAGCGGAACCUGGAUGCUCAUAUUGGCUCCCACAUAUUCUACGAAGAUCUUUAUCGGUCAGACCGCAUAACAACAUACGUUGUUCCCUUUGUCAUCGGUAUGUUACUUGCCCGAGAUUCGAUCGUCGGUAUCUCAAUACCCAGUUCAAUCUCGUUACCGGCAAGUCUCUUUACUCGUUCUGUAAUACAUCAUCCCACAACUAACUCAUUAGUUGCAAUGCUUGCAAGGCUUAAGUGAUGUGCAUUACCGAGUGGGCCCAGAGAUACCUCUCCGACAAUCGGAGUGACAAAUCCUAAUCUUGAAAUACGCCAACCCAACAAGUACCUUCGGAGACACCUGUAGAGCACCUUUAUAAUCCCCCAGUUACGUUGUGACGUUUGGUAGCACACAAAGUGUUCCUCCAGUAAACGGGAGUUGCAUAAUCUCAUAGUCAUAGGAACAUGUAUAAGUCAUGAAGAAAGCAAUAGCAACAUACUAAACGAUCGAGUGCUAAGCUAACAGAAUGGGUCAAGUCAAUCACAUCAUUCUCCUAAUGAUGUGAUCCCGUUAAUCAAAUGACAACUCAUGUCUAUGGCUAGGAAACAUAACCAUCUUUGAUCAACGAGCUAGUCAAGUAGAGGCAUACUAGUGACACUCUGUUUGUCUAUGUAUUCACACAUGUAUCAAGUUUCCGGUUAAUACAAUUCUAGCAUGAAUAAUAAACAUUUAUCAUGAUAUAAGGAAAUAAAUAAUAACUUUAUUAUUUCCUCUAGGGCAUAUUUCCUUCAGUCUCCCACUUGCACUAGAGUCAAUAAUCUAGUUCACAUCGCCAUGUGAUUUAACAUCAAUAGUUCACAUCACCAUGUGAUUAACACCCAUAGUUCACAUCGUCAUGUGAUCAACACCCAAAGGGUUUACUAGAGUCAGUAAUCUAGUUCACAUCACUAUGUGAUUAACACCCAAAGAGUACUAAGGUGUGAUCAUGUUUUGCUUGUGAGAUAAUUUUAGUCAACGGGUCUGUCACAUUCAGAUCCGUAAGUAUUUUGCAAAUUUCUAUGUCUACAAUGCUCUGCACGGAGCUACUCUAGCUAAUUGCUCCCACUUUCAAUAUGUAUCUAGACCGAGACUUAGAGUCAUCUAGAUUAGUGUCAAAACUUGCAUCGACGUAACCCUUUACGAUGAACCUUUUGUCACUUCCAUAAUCGAGAAACAUAUCCUUAUUCCACUAAGGAUAAUUUUGACCGCUGUCCAGUGAUGUACUCCUAGAUCACUAUUGUACUCCCUUGCCAAAAUCAGUGUAGGGUAUUCAAUAGAUCUGGUACACAGCAUGGCAUACUUUACAGAACCUAUGGCCAAGACAUAGGGAAUGACUUUUAUUCUUUUUCUAUCUUCUGCCGUGGUCGGGCUUUGAGUCUUACUCAAUUUCACACCUUGUAACACGGGCAAGAAUCUCUUUCUUUGACUGUUCCAUUUUGAACCACUUCAAAAUCUUGUUUAAGGUAUGUACUCAUUGAAAAAACUUAUCAAGCGUCUCGAUCUAUCUCUAUAGAUCUUGAUGCUCAAUAUGUAAGCAGCUUCACCGAGGUCUUUCUUUGAAAAACUCCUUUCAAACACUCCUUUAUGCUUUGCAGAAUAAUUCUACAUUAUUUCCGAUCAACAAUAUGUCAUUCACAUAUACUUAUCAGAAAUGCUGUAGUGCUCCCACUCACUUUCUUGUAAAUACAGGCUUCACCGCAAGUCUGUAUAAAACUAUAUCCUUUGAUCAAUUUAUCAAAGCGUAUAUUCCAACUCCGAGAUGCUUGCACCAGUCCAUAGAUGGAUCGCUGGAGCUUGCAUAUUUUGUUAGCACCUUUAGGACUGACAAAACCUUCUGGUUGCAUCAUAUACAACUCUUCCUUAAUAAAUCCAUUAAGGAAUGCAGUUUUGUUUAUCCAUUUGCCAGAUUUCAUAAAAUGCGGCAGUUGCUAACAUGAUUCGGACAGACUUAAGCAUAGAUACGAGUGAGUAACUCUCAUCGUAGUCAACACCUUGAACUUGUCGAAAACCUUUUGCGACAAUUCUAGCUUUGUAGAUAGUAACACUACUAUCAGCGUCCGUCUUCCUCUUGAAGAUCCAUUUAAUCUCAAUGGCUCGCCGAUCAUUGGGCAAGUCAAUCAAACUCCGUACUUUGUUCUCAUACAUGGAUCCUAUCUCAGAUUUCAUGGCCUCAAGCCUUUUUGCGGAAUCUGGGCUCAUCAUCGCUUCCUCAUAGUUCGUAGGUUCGUCAUGGUCAAGUAACAUGACCUCCAGAACAGGAUUACCGUACCACUCUGGUGCGGAUUUCAUUCUGGUUGAUCUACGAGGUUCGGUAGUAACUUGAUCUGAAGUUACAUGAUCAUCAUCAUUAGCUUCCUCACUAAUUGGUGUAGGAAUCACAGGAACAAAUUUCUGUGAUGAACUACUUUCCAAUAAGGGAGCAGGUACAGUUACCUCAUCAAGUUCUAUUUUCCUCCCACUCACUUCUUUCGAGAGAAACUCCUUCUCUAGAAAGGAUCCAUUCUUAGCAACGAAUGUCUUGCCUUUCGGAUCUGUGAUAGAAGGUGUACCCAACUGUCUCCUUUGGGUAUCCUAUGAAGACACAUUUCUCCGAUUUGGGUUUGAGCUUAUCAGGAUGAAACUUUUUCACAUAAGCAUCGUAGCCCCAACUUUAAGAAACGACAACUUUGGUUUCUUGCCAAACCACAGUUCAUAAGGCGUCGUCUCAACGGAUUUUGAUGGUGCCCUAUUUAACGUGAAUGCAGCUGUCUCUAAUGCAUAACCCCAAAACGAUAGUGGUAGAUCGGUAAGUGACAUCAUAGAUCGCACCAUAUCUAAUAAAGUACGGUUACGAUGUUCAGACACACCAUUACACUGUGGUGUUCCAGGUGGCGUGAGUAGUGAAACUAUUUCAUGUUGUUUUAACUGAAGACCAAACUCGUAACUCAAAUAUUCUACCUCUGCGAUCAUAUCGUAGAAAAUUUUCUUGUUACGAUGAUUUUCUACUUCACUCUGAAAUUCUUUUGAACUUUUCAAACGUUUCAGGCUCAUGUUUUAUCAAGUAGAUAUAUCCAUAUCUGCUCAAAUCAUCUAUGAAGGUCAGAAAAUAACGAUACUUGCCGCGAGCCUUAACACUCACCGGACUGCAUACAUCAGUAUGUAUUAUUUCCAAUAAGUCAGUUGCUCGCUCCAUUGUUCCGGAGAACGGCGUUUUAGUCAUCUUGCCCAUGAGGCAUGGUUCGCAAGCAUCAAGUGAUUCCAAAAUCCCAUCAGCAUGGAGCUUCUUCAUGCGCUUUACACCAAUAUGACCUAAACAGCAGUGCCACAAAUAAGUUGCACUAUCAUUAUUAACUUUCCAUCUUUUGGCUUCAAUAUUUAUGAAUAUGUGUAUCACUACGAUCGAGAUCCAACAAACCAUUUUCAUUGGGUGUAUGGCCAUAGAAGGUUUUAUUCAUGUAAAUAGAACAACAAUUAUUCUCUAACUUAAAUGAAUAACUAUAUUGCAAUAAACAUGAUCAAAUCAUAUUCAUGCUCAACGCAAACACCAAACAACACUUAUUUAGGUUCAACACUAAUCCCGAAAGUAUAGGGAGUGUGCGAUGAUGAUCAUAUCAAUCUUGGAACCACUUCCAAUACACAUCGUCACUUCAUCCUUAACUAGUUUCUGUUUAUUAUGCAACUCCCGUUUCGAGUUACUACUCUUUAGCAACUGAACCAGUAUCAAAUACCGAGGGGUUGCUACGAACACUAGUAAAAUACACAUCAAUAAUUUGUAUAUCAAAUAUACCUUUGUUCACUUUGCCAUCCUUCUUAUCCACCAAAUACUUGGGCAGUUCCGCUUCCAGUGACCAGUCCCUUUGCAGUAGAAGCACUUAGUCUCAGGCUUAGGUCCAGACUUGGGCUUCUUCACUUGAGCAGCAACUUGCUUGCCGUUCUUCUUGAAGUUCGCCUUCUAUCCCUUUGCCCUUUUCUAAAACUAGUGGUCUUGUUAACCAUCAACACUUGAUGCUCUUUCUUGAUUUCUACCUUCGUCGAUUUCAGCAUCGCGAAGAGCUCGGGAAUUACUUUCGUCAUCCCUUUCAUACUAUAGUUCAUCACGAAGUUCUACUAACUUGGUGAUGGUGACUAGAGAAUUCUGCUAAUCACUAUUUUAUCUGGAAGAUUAACUCCCACUUGAUUCAAGCAAUUCUAGUACCCAGACAAUCGGAGCACAUGCUCACUGCUUGAGCUAUUCUCCUCCAUCUUUUAGCUAUAGAACUUGUUGGAGACUUCAUAUCUCUCAACUCGGGUAUUUGCUUGAAAUAUUAACUUCAACUCCUGGAACACCUUAUAUGGUCCAUGACAUUCAAAACGUCUUUGAAGUCCCGAUUCUAAGCCGUUUAAGCAUGGUGUACUAAACUAUCAAGUAGUCAUCAUAUUGAGCUAGCCAAACGUUCAUAACGUCUGCAUCUGCUCCUGCAAUAGGUCUGUCACCUAGCGGUGCAUCAAGGACAUAAUUCUUCUGUGCAGCAAUGAGGAUAAUCCUCAAAUCACGGAUCCAAUCCGCAUCAUUGCUACUAACAUCUUUCAACUUAGUUUUCUCUAGGAACAUAUCAAAAAUAAAAUAGGGGAGCUAAACGCGAGCUAUUGAUCUACAACAUAGAUAUGCUAAUACUAUCAGGACUAAGUUCAUGAUAAAUUAAAGUUCACUUAAUCAUAUUACUUAAGAACUCCCACUUAGAUAGACAUCCCUCUAAUCCUCUAAGUGAUCACGUGAUCCAUAUCAACUAAACCAUGUCCGAUCAUCACGUGAGAUGGAGUAGUUUCAAUGGUGAACAUCACUAUGUUGAUCAUAUCUACUAUAUGAUUCACGCUCGACCUUUCAGUCUCCGUGUUCCGAGGCCAUAUCUGUUAUAUGCUAGGCUCGUCAAGUUUAACCUGAGUAUUCCGCGUGUGCAACUGUUUUACACCCGUUGUAUUUGAACGUAGAGCCUAUCACACCCGAUCAUCAUGUGGUGUCUCAGCACGAAGAACUUUCGCAACGGUGCAUACUCAGGGAGAACACUUAUACUUUGAUAAUUUAGUGAGGGAUCAUCUUAGAAUGCUACCGUCAAUCAAAGCAAGAUAAGAUGCAUAAAAGAUAAACAUCACAUGCAAUCAAUAUAAGUGAUAUGAUAUGGCCAUCAUCAUCUUGUGCUUGUGAUCUCCAUCUCCGAAGCACCGUCAUGAUCCCCAUCGUCACCGGCGCGACACCUUGAUCUCCAUCGUAGCAUCGUUGUCGUCUCGCCAACUAUUGCUUCUAUGACUAUCGCUACCGCUUAGUGAUAAAGUAAAGCAAUUACAUGGCGAUUGCAUUGCAUACAAUAAAGCGACAACCAUAUGGCUCCUGCCAGUUGCCGAUAACUCGGUUACAAAAUAUGAUCAUCUCAUACAAUAAAAUUUAGCAUCAUGUCUUGACCAUAUCACAUCACAACAUGCCCUGCAAAAACAAGUUAGACGUCCUCUACUUUGUUGUUGCAAGUUUUACGUGGCUGCUACUGGGCUUAGCAAGAACCGUUCUUACCUACGCAUCAAAACCACAACGAUAGUUUGUCAAGUUGGUGCUGUUUUAACCUUCGCAAGGACAGGGCGUAGCCACACUCGGUUCAACUAAAGUUGGAGAAACUGACACCCGCCAGCCACCUCUGUGCAAAGCACGUCGGAAGAACCAGUCUCGCGUAAGCGUACGCCUAAUGUCGGUCCGGACCGCUUCAUCUAAUAAUACCGCCGAACCAAAGUAUGACAUGCUGGUAAGCAGUAUGACUUAUAUCGCCCACAACUCACUUGUGUUCUACUCGUGCAUAUAACAUCAAUGCAUAAAACCAGGCUCGGAUGCCACUGUUGGGGAACGUCGUCAUUUCAAAAAAAUUCCUACGCAGACGCAAGAUCAUGGUGAUGCAUAGCAACGAGAGGGGAGAGUGUUGUCCACGUACCCUCGUAGACCGAAAGCGGAAGUGUUAACACAACGCGGUUGAUGUAGUCGUACGUCUUCACGAUCCAACCGAUUAAGUACCGAACGCAUGGCACCUCCGAGUUCAGCACACGUUCAGCUCAAUGACGUCCCUCGAACUCCGAUCCAGCCGAGUGUUGAGGGAGAGUUUCGUCAGCACGACGACGUGGUGACGAUGAUGAUGUUCUACCGACGCAGGGCUUCGCCUAAGCACCGCUACGAUAUUAUCGAGGUGUAAUAUGGUGGAGGGGGCACCGCACACGGUUAAGAGAUCAAUGAUCAAUUGUUGUGUCUAUGGGGUGCCCCCUGCCCCCGUAUAUAAAGGAGCAAGGGGGAGGCGGCCGGCCAAGGAGGAGGGCGCGCAAGGGGGGAGUCCUACUCCCACGGGGAGUAGGACUCCUCCUUUCCUUGUUGGAGUAGGAGAGAAGGAAAGAGGGAGAGAGGGAGAAGGAAAAGGGGGCUGCACCCCUUGUCCAAUUCGGAUCAGGGGGGUGCGCGCCUCCUUCCUUUUGGCCUUUCUCCUCUAUUCCCGUAUGUCCCAAUAAGGCCCAAUACUUUUCCCCGGCGAAUUCCCGUAACUCUCCGGUACUCCGAUAAAUACCCGAAUCACUCGGAACCUUUCCGAAGUCCGAAUAUAGUUGUCCAAUAUAUCGAUCUUUACGUCUCCGCCAUUUCGAGACUCCUCGUCAUGUCCCUGAUCUCAUCCGGGACUCCGAACUCCUUCGGUACAUCAAAACACAUAAACUCAUAAUAUAACUGUCAUCUAACUUUAAGCGAGCGGACCCUACGGGUUCGAGAACUAUGUAGACAUGACCAAGACACGUCUCCUGUCAAUAACCAAUAGCGGAACCUGGAUGCUCAUAUUGGCUCCCACAUAUUCUACGAAGAUCUUUAUCGGUCAGACCGCAUAACAACAUACGUUGUUCCCUUUGUCAUCGGUAUGUUACUUGCCCGAGAUUCGAUCGUCGGUAUCUCAAUACCUAGUUCAAUCUCGUUACUGGCAAGUCUCUUUACUCGUUCUGUAAUACAUCAUCCCACAACUAACUCAUUAGUUGCAAUGCUUGCAAGGCUUAAGUGAUGUGCAUUACCGAGUGGGCCCACAGAUACCUCUCCGACAAUCGGAGUGACAAAUCCUAAUCUUGAAAUACGCCAACCCAACAAGUACCUUCGGAGACACCUGUAGAGCACCUUUAUAAUCACCCAGUUACGUUGUGACGUUUGGUAGCACACAAAGUGUUCCUCCGGUAAACGGGAGUUGCAUAAUCUCAUAGUCAUAGGAACAUGUAUAAGUCAUGAAGAAAGCAAUAGCAACAUACUAAACGAUCGAGUGCUAAGCUAACGGAAUGGGUCAAGUCAAUCGCAUCAUUCUCCUAAUGAUGUGAUCCCGUUAAUCAAAUGACAACUCAUGUCUAUGGCUAGGAAACAUAACCAUCUUUGAUCAACGAGCUAGUCAAGUAGAGGCAUACUAGUGACACUCUGUUUGUCUAUGUACUCACACAUGUAUCAAGUUUUCGGUUAAUACAAUUCUAGCAUGAAUAAUAAACAUUUAUCAUGAUAUAAGGAAAUAAAUAAUAACUUUAUUAUUGCCUCUAGGGCAUAUUUCCUUCACUUUUCUGCGUCAUGUCCGGCUGCGGAAGAUCAACACGUCGCAGCCCUACCUAGGCACAACAGAGAGGUCAGCACGCCGGUCUAAAUCCUAUGCGCGCAGGGGUCUGGGCCCAUCGCCCAUUGCACACCUGCACGUUGCGUACGCGGCCGGAGAGCAGACCUAGCAACCUCCAUUUCAAAGGAAGUCACGUUACGCGGUCCAACCCGGCGCGCGCCGCUUAGUCGCUGACGUCACGAAGGCUUCGGCUGAUACCCCGACGUCAAGUGCCCAUAACUAUUCCCGCAUAGUUGGUUAGUGCGUAUAGACCAAAUGGCCAGACUCAGAUCAAAUACCAAGAUCUCGUUAACCGUGUUAAUUGAUGUAACCGCGGACACCGACCAGGGCCAGGCCCACCUCUCACCUAGGUAGUCUCAACCUGCCCUGUCGCUCCACCACAAAGAUCCACCCAGAGGGCCGUCGGGACAAAGGUCCUUUCAGCCCCCAAUCCGUGAAUCACUCGCGGGUACUCCUUGAGCCGACCCGACUUUAGUCACCACAUGUAUCAUGUAUAAAGUAUAUAGUAUAUACCCGUGAUCACCUCCCGAGUGAUCACGGCCCGAUAGUAUAGCACAGCAGACGGACAAGAAUGUAGGGCCACUGAUGGAAAACUAACAUCCUAUACUAAGUAUGUAGGAUUGCAGGUAAAGGUAACAACAGUAGUGGCAAAGACAGGCUAUGCAGCAGAAUAGGAUUAACGGAAAGCAGUAACAUGCUACGCUACUCUAAUGCAAGAGUAUAGAGAAGAAUAGGCGAUAUCUGGUGAUCAACGGGGGGCUUGCCUGGUUUCUCUGGCAAGAAGGAGGGGUCUUCAACAGCGUAGUCAAUCGGGGCACCAGCAACGGCGUCGGUCUCGUAGUCUACCGGAGAGAAAAGGGGGAGGAAACAAUGAAUACAAUGCAAACAGAUGCAUAACGAUGCAUGACAAAGCAAACAGCCUUGUUAGGUGUGCCCUAACGCGGUAAGAGCUGAUACCGGCGAAGGGGGGAAACAUCCGGGAAAGUAUCCCUGGUGUUUCGCGUUUUCGGACAGAGGAACCGGAGGAGGAAAGUUGCGAGUUCGAUAUGUUAGGGAUGUGUGGCGGACGAACGGGCUGCGUAUCCGGAUUCGUCUCGUCGUUCUGAGAAACUUUCAUGUAGAAAGUAUUUUCAUCUGAGCUACGGUUUAUUUUAUAUGAUUUUCUAAAGUUUUAAAUCAUUUUUAGAAUUUAUUUAAUUAAUUUAAUUCAACAUUAUCCAGAACAGUGCAUGCUGACGUCAGCAUGACGUCAGCAGUCAACAGGGGUGUUUACUGGUCAAACUGACGUGUGGGUCCCGUUCGUCAUUGACUAGACUAACUAAUCAUGAUUAAUUAGUUUAAUUAGUUGUUUAGCUUAAUUAAUCAAAAUUAAUUAAGUUAAUUAAUUAAUUAAUAUCUUAAUCAUUAUAUUUUUAAUUCCUUUCUUUCUUUCUUUUUUUAACGUCUGGGGGCUGGGCCCCACGUGUCAUUCGACCAGGGGGCCGAUGCGGGUUACGGGCACUAGGUGCUAACGGGCACAGCCGAACGGGCGCUGGCCCACGGGGGCGCACCCGACUGGGCGCCGUGGGGCGGCUGGUGGGCGCGGGCGCCAGCACAUCGGCGUGGAGCUCCGGUGGCUGCGACCGAGCAGAGCAUGGGGAGGGCCGCGACUGCCGACACGCAGCAGGGCGGCCGGAGGCGGACGACGGGCGCGCGAGGCCGCGGCAAGAGGGGCGGAGGCUCCUUGGCGUGAGACAGGGCGAGCGGGAAGGAGCAGCGCGUGCGGGUGCGGCGAGCGGGCGGCAGAGGUGACGGGACCGACGAGNNNNNNNNNNNNNNNNNNNNNNNNNNNNNNNNNNNNNNNNNNNNNNNNNNNNNNNNNNNNNNNNNNNNNNNNNNNNNNNNNNNNNNNNNNNNNNNNNNNNNNNNNNNNNNNNNNNNNNNNNNNNNNNNNNNNNNNNNNNNNNNNNNNNNNNNNNNNNNNNNNNNNNNNNNNNNNNNNNNNNNNNNNNNNNNNNNNNNNNNNNNNNNNNNNNNNNNNNNNNNNNNNNNNNNNNNNNNNNNNNNNNNNNNNNNNNNNNNNNNNNNNNNNNNNNNNNNNNNNNNNNNNNNNNNNNNNNNNNNNNNNNNNNNNNNNNNNNNNNNNNNNNNNNNNNNNNNNNNNNNNNNNNNNNNNNNNNNNNNNNNNNNNNNNNNNNNNNNNNNNNNNNNNNNNNNNNNNNNNNNNNNNNNNNNNNNNNNNNNNNNNNNNNNNNNNNNNNNNNNNNNNNNNNNNNNNNNNNNNNNNNNNNNNNNNNNNNNNNNNNNNNNNNNNNNNNNNNNNNNNNNNNNNNNNNNNNNNNNNNNNNNNNNNNNNNNNNNNNNNNNNNNNNNNNNNNNNNNNNNNNNNNNNNNNNNNNNNNNNNNNNNNNNNNNNNNNNNNNNNNNNNNNNNNNNNNNNNNNNNNNNNNNNNNNNNNNNNNNNNNNNNNNNNNNNNNNNNNNNNNNNNNNNNNNNNNNNNNNNNNNNNNNNNNNNNNNNNNNNNNNNNNNNNNNNNNNNNNNNNNNNNNNNNNNNNNNNNNNNNNNNNNNNNNNNNNNNNNNNNNNNNNNNNNNNNNNNNNNNNNNNNNNNNNNNNAGUUCGUGCCCCGAUCCAGAACGAGCGGAGAGGGAGAGGGGAUCGGGGCGAGGGGAUCGUGGGGAGGGAAAGUGGGGAUGAGUGGGGAGGGAACCGCCAGGGUUUCGGUCGCCUAGGGGGAUAAGGGAGCGAUGGGGGCGGCUGGGCCUGUGGGCUGGUGGGUUGGAUGCCCAGUUGGGCCAAACGGCGGAAGGGGAGGGGGGAAGGCCCGGGGUUUUCUUUCUUUCCUUUUUCUUUGUUUUCUUUUUAUUUCAACUUCUUUUUCUAUUUAGUUUCUAAGCCAUUUUAGUCUUAAUAAGAACAAAAGUUGCUCCACAAUUAGUAUAGUAAUAUAGGCUACUGUCACAAAAAGGUUCGGGGCAAAUAAAAUAGUUUGGAGAUUUCUACCAUUUUGAAAAUGCAUUUUAAUAAAUAAUUGACCCAUGUUUUAAUUAUUUUAGGCCACUUAAUUACUUUACAAAAAGUUGAUUUCACCACCAUAAUUGCCUACGGAUUAUUUACCACCUUUUGAACAUUUUAGUUUGACAUUUGAAAACUUUUUAUAGUUUGACUUUAUUUUAAAUUUGAAUCCGAAGCAAUUUUGAAUCUAAGCGAGAUUAUCAACAGUAAUCGUGGUGACUUGGCAUCAUUAGUAGGGGGUUACUGUAACUUGAUUAUCCGG
rnacentral:lncRNA from 1 species